GAAAACAGACAAGAGAAAAAGACAUCAGUUUUAAGUUACAUCUGAAAAGGAAAAUGUUCUCCAUUUUCUGUAGAACACUUUGUUAAUAACUUCUUAGCACAAGUUCUCACUCACAUGUGCUUAAUCUUGAGCAUGAGUUGAUUGGAAAGAAAAGAAUACAGCCAUUUGCCUUGUAACAUGACCAAUAUGAAUGUGGGUUAACGACCAGCAGGGCGCAAAUCCACCCAUUUUGCAGUUCACGUUUUUAUGUUUGCUUCCAAUGACACACUCACAGCAGGCACAUGCACUCUGUGUAAUGUAGCACAAGGCAGGCCGCGCUCAGGCCACGUUGCAGUGUGCCGGGAGGGACCUUUUCUCCACCCCACCCCCCUCCUCUCGUACACACGUUAGAGUAGAUAUCUAAUCUACUCCGUUUAGUCCUAAACACUGAAGUCACACAAAACACUAUCAGCUGCUGUUUCGUGAUCACCAUGGUUGAACCUUUCGAUAGAAAUUCUGAUGAUUUUCAGAGCACACAGUUUUCAAUCCACUAAUCCAACCAAUAACAAACAGGGCAAUACAACAAAACAUUGUGAUGAAUGAUAAAUAUAACCCUUUGGUGAACUGAAGUGCUCAACCUACUUUGGAGAAACAUCAAUGUAUUCUACAAUGUAUUGACAUUGACUUUGGCACCAAUGGUGGUAUAUAUAGACUGUUCAACCCAGUGGUUCAAUCCAUUACGGGUAGCCACAAUUCACAUGAUUAUUAGAGCCAACAUCUAAAACUAGAACUAGAUAGAGAACAGUCUGUAGAAUCGUAGUUCUAAUCCAAAUAUUUACAGCUGGAGCAAUAAGGCCAAGGAACGUGACUCGAGACUACUGCUCUGGACAAAGAUACCUUGUUACUUGAGGUGGAAGCCAUUUCCUAUGACAAUACAAGGUGUAUGCAGCUACCGGUAGCUUUGAAAUCAAAUGAAGGCUAAUCUGAACGGUUGUUGUUAAAUCACGUUUCUAAAUCAAGUCGUACACGAAUUAAUCUUAACAGUUCGUCAAAAAACAAUAGUGGACUUUAAACUGCACUGCUCUCCUAGUCGUAAACGAGAGACAUAAACACGCAAAUUAUUAAUCUGACGUUAACGGACACUGAAGGAUAUGCCAAGUUUUAUUUACAAAACAAAAUAAGCAUCUGCUUAUUCUUUAUGUCCCCAACGCGAAGGUUAAUGUUACCGGAUAAUGCUACAAUGUUUCUCUACACAAGACACACGGGAGGGAAAUGUGCUAUCGGGUAACUAACGUAUGGUACCCGUAUCGUAUCGGUCGUUAGCAAAGACAAUUUGUCCUUGAAGACUCAGCCCAUGUCCCAAUAUGAAAUGGACCUGGAUCUCCUGAAGAAAGUGACAGGCCGGGACACAUCCUCCUGCUCCUGCUCCUGCUCCUCUCCUCUGGGCAUUCUUGUGCUGAGUCAAGCUAAGUGCGGUGAGGAAGGACAGCAAGUCAGCUCGUCUGCUUUGGAAACUCCAGCAGCUGAGUCAGAGGGAUUUUUUCCCCUUUUCUUUUUGUCAAAGGAGGUAAUGAUCAAAGGUGGUAUCUUUUUUAUUGCGAUUUGGAUCCCCCUGUGUCUGGAAAGGAAUAGUGUAUUCUGCACCUCUAAGUAGAGUAGAGUAACUUUGUAAACCCCCGAAGGAAAUUAAGGGGUUCACAAAUACAAAUACAUACACAAAUACAGACU